CUGAAGUCCUUUUAAGGAAGACACCACCUACCACCACCAUGGGUGAUAGGCUGUCAUCACUACUACAACAUCUGCCUAUGCAUCCUUGAAUAUAAACAGGUACUUAAAAGCACAGCAUUGACAACAACAAAAAAUGCUUUCCUUUUGGCUUGAAAGAAGGCAAUAAGAAGAAAGAUUUUAGGAGCUGAGCUGGAAAUUAAGAAGAAAGCCUCAAGGUUCUGUGAGCAUGAACCUACUUAAGGGGUCUUGCCUCCAAGACAGUAUUUAGGAUAUAUGGAAAGAAGCACAGGAAAAAA
rnacentral:lncRNA from 1 species